CUUGCUGGUUUUUAGAAACAGGCAAAUGAAGUGGGGUUUUGAGAGGGAAGUAGAGGAGAAUUUGGCUUAUGGAAAAUGGGAUCAAGGAAGACUAUCAAUUAGCUGAUGAAGGUGUUAUUCAGGCACAAUUGGCUGGAGAAUUGUUCCUUAAGGAGUUUUGUUGGGAAUAUUAUUUGCAAGGAAGAAUUGUGCAGGCGUUAGCAUUAUGCAUGUUAGGUAGAAAUAUUACUCAAGAAUUAUGCAAGAAUGGAAUGCAUGAGAAUAUGGAUGGUAAUUUGAUUUAUGGCCUUGCUUUGUUGGAAGCAUUUGUGGACGAUAUAGAGAACAAAAGCCAAAGAUUUCUAGGAUGCUGCUGCAGAGAUAAUUGACGCAUGAGAGAGUUUGAGGAGAGAAUCGGAGAAGCCAAAAUAAAAGUUGCUGGAUAUAGUUACAGAGGAUGGUUUGACAAAAGUUUCUGAAUAAAUAAGGAAAAGGCAGAGUAAAAGACUCAACCAUUUGGCAAUGAGAGUGUAGCCUUUGUGAAGGGAGCUGGCACUUGGCAGCAUAAGGGCAUAUCAUUUUAUGUUUGGUAUCAAACUUCUUAUUUUAUGCUUUUCUGAAUUCAUUUUGCCUGUGAUAUUAAGGUUGGCAGUACAAACAAGGAGACAGCUACAAUUUCUAAGGGCUUGAAAGAAUUCUUAUCCCAUAGUAAUUGGCGUUCUUAAUCUACUGUUGCUGAUUUUUCCCUCCCUUGGCAAAUUUAAGAAUCUGGCUAACUGUAUAGUUUGUGCAGGAAUUGAAAGAGAGCAACAUACCACAUUAAAGUGUUCGCAUCUGCUACUCUCCAUCUGCAAGAACAAGUCACACUGCCAAAAUUGGUGCAUCUGUUUUGAAUCUCCCAUUUUAAGGCUCGCAAUGUAAAGUGAGCUGUCUAAAUCAUAUAACAUUCUUGUUUUUUAGGGCAUCUACUCACCUGCUGCACUUGUAGUGCUUGAAAAGUUUUCACAUUCUCCUUAAUGUGAAGUGAGUUGUCUAAAAAUUGUGGUUGUAAGUAUGAGUUAAGGUCAAUGAGUUUUUUCUCCC